CUACUCACCUGGCAGGGAGAGACCCAAUCGCGAAGGUGGUUUUCCCAGGGCGAGGCUUCUUCAUUGUACUCUGGAUGUGCUGACCCCUGCGAUUUCCCCAAAUGUGGGAAACUCGACUGCAUAAUUUGUAGUAAUGGGCAACUGCAUUUGCACUCUCCCC
ensembl:snRNA U1 U1 spliceosomal RNA